rnacentral:lncRNA from 1 species
GCGGGCCUCUGUGCAUAUGGUCUAGGUGGCAAGGGAAUAGUGGUUCUCGGAUGUGGUGGUCGUGGUUGCAUGCUAGUCUAAGCAAUGUAAGGUUGUUGGACAUAAACUGGCUGAUACUGAUACUAUGGAUGAGAGAAAUGAGCUUUGAUUGUAGGAGGCCUAUAAGGUGAGUGAUGUGUGGGCCUCUGAUGUUGACAACUAAUAGUGUCAACCUCUCCAGACCUACUAGAUGAUCUUACUGGCUUCUUCCCCUUAAUGUUAGGGGAAGGAGUAGUAUAUGUCC